rnacentral:rRNA from 1 species
CAGUCGCCACGGUAAAACGAAGGGUGCAAGCGUUAAUCGGAAUUACUGGGCGUAAAGCGUGCGUAGGCGGUGAGUUAAGUCUGCUGUGAAAUCCCCGGGCUCAACCUGGGAAUGGCAGUGGAUACUGGCUCGCUAGAGUGUGUCAGAGGAUGGUGGAAUUCCCGGUGUAGCGGUGAAAUGCGUAGAGAUCGGGAGGAACAUCAGUGGCGAAGGCGGCCAUCUGGGACAACACUGACACUGAGGUGCGAAAGCGUGGGGAGCAAACAGGAUUAGAUACCCCGGUAGUCCCUGUCUCUUAUAC